UACGUAGGGUGCGAGCGUUGUCCGGAAUUAUUGGGCGUAAAGAGCUCGUAGGCGGUUUGUCGCGUCUGCUGUGAAAGACCGGGGCUCAACUCCGGUUCUGCAGUGGGUACGGGCAGACUAGAGUGCAGUAGGGGGAGACUGGAAUUCCUGGUGUAGCGGUGAAAUGCGCAGAUAUCAGGAGGAACACCGAUGGCGAAGGCAGGUCUCUGGGCUGUAACUGACGCUGGAG
rnacentral:rRNA from 1 species